rnacentral:rRNA from 1 species
UACGAGGGGGGCGAGCGUGUUCGGAAUUAUUGGGCGUAAAGGGUGCGUAGGCGGUUCGGUAAGUUUCGUGUGAAAUCUUCGGGCUCAACUCGAAGCCUGCACGAGAUACUGCCGGGCUUGAGUGUGGGAGAGGUGAGUGGAAUUUCCGGUGUAGCGGUGAAAUGCGUAGAUAUCGGAAAGGAACACCUGUGGCGAAAGCGGCUCACUGGACCACAACUGACGCUGAGGCACGAAAGCUAGGGGAGCAAACAGG